UACGUAGGGUGCGAGCGUUGUCCGGAAUUAUUGGGCGUAAAGAGCUCGUAGGCGGUUUGUCGCGUCGACUGUGAAAACCUACAGCUUAACUGUGGGCUUGCAGUCGAUACGGGCAGACUUGAGUUCGGUAGGGGAGACUGGAAUUCCUGGUGUAGCGGUGAAAUGCGCAGAUAUCAGGAGGAACACCGGUGGCGAAGGCGGGUCUCUGGGCCGAUACUGACGUGAGGAGCGAAAGCGUGGGGAGCGAACAGG
rnacentral:rRNA from 1 species